GCGGUCGGCCAAUCACGACGCGCCGCUCGUUCGCCGGGUGCAUUUACAUGCGCGCUGCGGUCAGUCGAUAAUGUGGCGGGAACGUCGCGGAUUUAAACGACGAAAGCGCCGCGCGCCUCCCAGGAUCCCGCGGACGGUUUUCGCGAUUCGAUUGGACGAUUAACGGCAAUUGAGAACUGCGCGACUAUUCCGAUCAAUUCCGUUGAAGCGUAGCCGAAGAUGCUGCCGAAGAUGGACCGCGUCUAAUGCCGUGGGUGCCAGGAGAGUCGAACCAGUGGCAACCAACUGCAAUCGAUGACGGAGCGGAGUGUUCGCUGCAGUAAAUUGAUCUCCCGAAUCUAUGCAAGAAAUACGCAAGAAGAGGCAACCCUCGAGAGGGAGGAAGAGGAGGAGAGACGGAAGGAGUGAGGGUGACAAAAGCAGAUGGGAGGAUAGAGAGCGCAGGAGGAUCGUACUGGUGCAGGAGUUGAGAUGUCUGCAUGACGAAAUCAACAACCUGUAGAUACCAACUCCGGCUGCCGCUAUCACGAUAGCAAUAAGAUCUCACUGAAUUGGAUCCCAUCGUAUCGUGCCGAAAGAAAGUUGCGCGAUUGCGAUUUUCAUGAAAGCUCUGCGAAAUUCGAGACUUUUCGCUCUUCAUACGUGAGGGGAAGUGACGUCGCUGCGAAUGCCGCAGCAAAGAUAGCGAUGUAAAACAAAAUGAGAAACGUCGCUACAAACUUACCGAUCAUCCUGGGAAAAAGCUCUGUUUAAUUAUUUCACGUAAUGGCUCGUGCCUCUACCAACGUGGAAAGGAACACAUUGCAAUGAAGCAGUCGGCUUUUCGAUUAUAAGUCUUUGGUCGCUUUUCAAAGCAAGAAAAAUGUGAUUUACACACCACCUCUCCGUU